rnacentral:rRNA from 1 species
UACAGAGGUCCCAAGCGUUGUUCGGAUUCACUGGGCGUAAAGGGUGCGUAGGCGGUCGGGUAAGUCUGAUGUGAAAUCUCACAGCUUAGCUGUGAAACUGCAUUGGAUACUAUCCGGCUAGAGGAAUGGAGGGGAGACUGGAAUACUUGGUGUAGCAGUGAAAUGCGCAGAUAUCAGGAGGAACACCAAUGGCGAAGGCAGCUCGCUGGGACGGUACUGACGCUGAGACGCGAAAGCGUGGGGAGCAAACAGG